rnacentral:rRNA from 1 species
UACAGAGGGUGCAAGCGUUAAUCGGAAUUACUGGGCGUAAAGCGCGCGUAGGUGGUUUGUUAAGUUGGAUGUGAAAGCCCCGGGCUCAACCUGGGAACUGCAUUCAAAACUGACAAGCUAGAGUAUGGUAGAGGGUGGUGGAAUUUCCUGUGUAGCGGUGAAAUGCGCAGAUAUAGGAAGGAACACCAGUGGCGAAGGCGACCACCUGGACUGAUACUGACACUGAGGUGCGAAAGCGUGGGGAGCAAACAGG